rnacentral:lncRNA from 1 species
GGAAGGUGCCUCAGUGGAUGGAUGGGAUUUGGUCUUUGGGUUGAGUGUCUGGCCACGCUUGCUCUCGGGACGUACCCUCCCUGCGGCAGCUUGGAGGUGUUCAGGUCGGCACCGAGCAGCAGGAGGAUGAGCACGCCUGAGGCCUGGAUCGGCGUACGCGAGCCAUCACUACCUCCUCCGCACCCUCAGAAAGAGACCACAGUCCAAUUAAAAGAAAUGAAGUCUGCUGUCACGCCAGUUGUUGGCACCGGGAGCUGGCCCGGAGGGAUGGAGGAAGGUGUGAUUUUACCGUCCGUUUAUUUCUCAGUGCCAGUGCCUGCCUGAACUGCAGUGUGAUUUCCCAAACACCUGAUG